rnacentral:lncRNA from 1 species
AAACCAUCAGUUUUAUGCAAAGUCGAAGGGAGUGUUGCCAUUCAGGGAUGUGGCCAUAGAAUUCUCCCCAGAAGAGUGGGAAUGCCUGGACUCUGCUCAGCAGCGUUUGCAUAGGGAUGCGAUGUUAGAGAACUAUGGAAACCUGGUGUCUCUGGGUCUUGUUAUUUCCAAGCCAGACUUGAUUACCCUUCUGGAGCAAAGAGCCCUGGAAUGUGAAGAGACAGAAGACAGUAGUCAAAUACCCAGGUAGGUGGGAGUGAAUGAAGGAAAUGACACAAAUGAGAGUUCCCAAUGUCAAGGAGGAAGCCAGACUUUUACACACGGUUUGAAU